UAAUCCCAGCUACUAGGGAGGCUGAGAUGGGAGAAUCACUUGAACCCAGAAGGCCUCUCACGCCAUUGCAUUCCAGCCUGGGCGACAGAGCAAGACUCCGUCUCAAAAAAAAAAAAAAAGUUCUGUCUUGUGGGAGAUUUAAGUUUUUGUGGUGAAAUUAAAAUUCAUACCAUAAAUACAAACCUGGAAAGGAGUGAAUACAAUGAGGCGAACCCACUGGGCGGUUACACAGUGGCCCACAGCUGUAGUCCCCACUACUCAGAAGGCUGAGGCAGGAGGACGGCUGGAGCCCAGGAGUUCAAGACCCACAUGGGCAACAUAGUGAGAUGGAGCAGGGACCCCUCCUAGGUGCCUGCCAGGCUCUCCCAAGCUUGGAAAUCAAGGAACACUCUUGAAUCCCUUCAAGGGAAAUUCCAGUCACCUUGCCAGCCUUGAAAGGUAAGUGAGCAGCCUGCCAGGAAGGCGACGGGAGCACGGGUCUCCCAAGCAGGCCACAGCCACAGGUGGUUUGCUUCCCUAUAGAAACUAAAGCAUAACAUACAUUCUCAAGUCUUUCAGAAACCCCCACCCGGUGGAAAAUGCCGACUGCUAUCACAGAGACCCAGAUAAGGGGGAACUGAGGACUGAACUCUGGCCGUGUUCUCUGUCAUGAAUUUCUUCUUGAGGGGCCUGGAGGGAGUCACAGCUGUGAGCCACUAAUGUGUGCCCCCAUGCACACAGCACCCUUGGCAUAACUAACUCCAUCUUAGAGACUCCAUUGUAUAUCUUACAGGGCACUUGGCCAACAAAGAAGGAAAGGCCCCAGCAGAACUCACCAUCUGCCGCCUGAGGCUCCACCACCUCGAAGACAUCCUUGCAAGAUCCACAGACUGGCCCAGACCAGGAGGUUUCUGUCUUCUUCUUGUGUCUUCUUCACUCUCCUGGACUGGUUCGUGAACCCUUUCUCCUAUCUCUGUUUCCUCUGGAUGUUAAGUGCUACUUUCUUUGUUGUGGAACGUUAACCUGUAACAUGUAUAUACUGAUUAAGUACACUAUUACGUUGUCGUGUGCAAUAUUGGCUGACAUGUGCAGUGGCUUGAGCCCGUGUGACCGCAGCUCUCACUACUGAGGGAAAGGAGCACUAAGCAGCAUGCCUCCUUGGGAACGCCGUGUGGCUCGUGGCUUUAGGGAUUGAAAUAGCCUCAAUAAAAUUCUGACAUUGUGAAAGACACAGGCAUGCUUGGAUGUGAUUAUCUCUAACUUUGCACUGCUCAUGACACCCCAUGUAUUGGUUAAUGAUUUUGCCUGCAACUUCUGCUUUCCUGAAAUGUACCCAUACCCCUAAAAACCCCAGCUUGUAAGCCACUGGGGAGUUUGGGUCUUAAGCGUGAGCUGUCCGUUCUCCUUGCUUGGUACCGUGCAAUAAAUAUCAUCUUUCC
rnacentral:lncRNA from 1 species